AGCCGGGCCGGGCCGGCCCCUCAGGGCGCUCCCGCCCGGCCCUGCCUGCCCUGAGGGCGCGGGCGCCUCCCGCCGCCGCCCGCCCUGUGGCGGCCCCGGGGCCAGUGGGCGCGGCGGUCCCCGCCGCCAGCGCAGCCCCCUGCCCGCCCGGCUCCGCCCGCCACAGCCACCUCACCUCCCCUCGCUUCUCUUCGCCUCCCGCCCGGGUGCCACCGAGCCGAGGCGCCGGGCGGGCAGCGGGCGGGCGGCCGCGCCAUGAGCGCCGAGUGCAGCAGUUACCUCAACGCCGACAAGGUGCUGGUGAGCGGGUUCAGCUGCCCGCGGGCGGGCGGCGACGCCCGCGCCGUCUUCUGCUGCGGCUUCCAGGACGUCAAGUACUGCUGCGAUGACCCCCACAGCUUCUUCCCCUACGAGCACAGCUACAUGUGGUGGCUCAGUGUUGGAGCACUCGUGGGCCUGUCAAUAGCAGCAGUGGUCCUCUUUGCUUUUAUCAUCACUGUGUGUGUUCUCUGUUAUUUGUUUAUCAGCACCAAGCCACGCAGCAAACUUGAUACUGGUUUGAGCUUACAGACAGCAGACAGUGAGGCCAGAGGGAGUUCGAUAUGUUAAAGACAGAGGCACUGAAUGGAUUCUGCCAAUGUUAUGAAGAAAAGAGAUACAGAGCUGCAUCCUUAACAAAGCCCCCACCAAAACAAACAGAGCCAAGUGACUUCAAGACACUUCCUGAGCCACAAGGAUGGACUGUGACUAUUCUUCAUCAAAACAUGUUGGAAUAUUUCUUGGGAAGCAAACUAAAAUUUUCCAGUAGUAUUUCAGUUUGGAGCACUAAUUUGUGAAAUGUUGAACUUCCUUCAGGUAAUCAAAGAGCUCUAAUUGCCCAUUUUAUUUCCCCAGAAGUCUUAGGAACAACCAAGACAAUCUUAACUGUCAUAUUUGAGUUGUCAGUUCUUUCAAGUUUCAGUCUUGAAAUCAUGAACAUUAGUGAUAAUGAUUUCUUUUCAUCUUGUGAGGGUUCUUAAAGGUGAGUGAUCAAAAGAAUUUCAAAACUGUUUAACCAUGCUGUUGAUAUUAAGGCAGUAGACAUAACUUCCAUUUGAAGAUGAGGCCUAAAAUAUUUACCUACCAUGACAAUUUUGUCUGUAGUUAUACUUCAACUUGUAAAGACAAAAUCCUUGUCUACUUCUUGGGAGUGACUUCUUUUCGUGUUCUAGUGCUUGAAAUUUAAACUCUGUAGCUGUCUGGUACUGUGCAUCAAAACCCCAAAGUGCUUCUGAUCUCAUCUGCUCUUGUGUGAAAUAAUGAAAUAAUACACCAGUGCCUCCCACUGAAGCAGAGAAUGUGGUGUAUGUUCUUCCAAUAGCUGUCUGUAUAUGAUAUCUCAUUAAACUGCUCUUUGCCACUAUGGA